rnacentral:rRNA from 1 species
GUAGGGAAUAUUGGGCAAUGGAUGCAAGUCUGACCCAGCCAUGCCGCGUGGAGGAAGAAGGUCCUCUGGAUUGUAAACUCCUUUUUUGGGGGAAGAAUAGUUCUCUUGCGAGGGAAUGUGACGGUACCCUAAGAAUAAGCCACGGCUAACUACGUGCAAGCAGCCGCGGUAAUACGUAGGUGGCAAGCGUUGUCCGGAUUUAUUGGGUUUAAAGGGUGCGUAGGUGGUUUGAUAAGUCAGUGGUGAAAGCUGGUUGCUCAACAAUCAAGUUUCCAUUGAUACUGUCGGACCUGAGAGAAGUGGAGGUUCAUGGAAUGGAUGGUGUAGCGGUGAAAUGCAUAGAUAUCAUCCAGAACGUCGAUUGCGAAGGCAGUGGGCUGUACUUUAUCUGACACUGAGGCACGAAAGUGUGGGGAUCAAACAGGAUUAGAAACCCCUGUAGUCC